UACAGAGGUCUCAAGCGUUGUUCGGAUUCAUUGGGCGUAAAGGGUGCGUAGGCGGCGCGGAAAGUAGGGUGUGAAAUCCCUCGGCUCAACCGAGGAAUUGCGCCCUAAACUACCGUGCUCGAGGGAGAUAGAGGUGAGCGGAACUUAGGGUGGAGCGGUGAAAUGCGUUGAUAUCCUAAGGAACACCGGUGGCGAAAGCGGCUCACUGGAUCUCUUCUGACGCUGAGGCACGAAAGCUAGGGUAGCGAACGGG
rnacentral:rRNA from 1 species